UGAGAGGUCGUUUGUGGGUU
rnacentral:siRNA from 1 species